rnacentral:rRNA from 1 species
CAUGCAAGUCGAGCGAGAUCUUCGGAUCUAGUGGCGCACGGGUGAGUAACGCGUGGGAACCUACCAUUCUGUACGGAAUAACGCUUGGAAACGAGCGCUAAUACCGUAUACGCCCUGUGGGGGAAAGGUCCGCCGCAGAAUGAGGGGCCCGCGUCCGAUUAGUUUGUUGGUAAGGUAAAAGCUUACCAAGGCUACGAUCGGUAGCUGGUCUGAGAGGAUGAUCAGCCACACUGGGACUGAGACACGGCCCAGACUCCUACGGGAGGCAGCAGUGGGGAAUAUUGGACAAUGGGGGCAACCCUGAUCCAGCAAUGCCGCGUGUGUGAUGAAGGCCCUAGGGUUGUAAAGCACUUUCAAUGGUGAAGAUGAUGACGGUAGCCAUACAAGAAGCCCCGGCUAACUUCGUGCCAGCAGCCGCGGUAAUACGAAGGGGGCGAGCGUUGUUCGGAAUUACUGGGCGUAAAGGGCGCGCAGGCGGUCAAUUUAGUUAGGUGUGAAAGCCCCGGGCUCAACCUGGGAACUGCACUUGAUACUGGUUGACUAGAAAACGGAAGAGGGCAGUGGAAUUCCCAGUGUAGAGGUGAAAUUCGUAGAUAUUGG